ACAAAGUUUCCGUAGGUGAACCUGCGGAAGGAUCAUU
rnacentral:rRNA from 1 species